rnacentral:rRNA from 1 species
UACGUAGGGGGCUAGCGUUGUCCGGAAUCAUUUGGCGUAAAGAGCGUGUAGGCGGCCCGGUAAGUCCGCUGUGAAAGUCGGGGGCUCAACCCUCGAAUGCCGGUGGAUACUGUCGGGCUAGAGUGCGGAAGAGGCGAGUGGAAUUCCUGGUGUAGCGGUGAAAUGCGCAGAUAUCAGGAGGAACACCAAUUGCGAAGGCAGCUCGCUGGGACGUAACUGACGCUGAGACGCGAAAGCGUGGGGAGCAAACAGG